ACUUAAAUAGCUUAAAUUUUAAAGCUUGACUUUGAAGAAGUCAUUAUAGGACAACCUUUUAAGUA
rnacentral:tRNA from 1 species